rnacentral:snRNA from 1 species
GCGCUCACUUCGGCAGCACAUAAGCCAAAACUGGGACGAUGCAGAGAAAUUAGCCUGCCCCCUGCAAGGAGAACUCCAAAAUCUGUGAAAGAUUUUACAUUUAA